rnacentral:rRNA from 1 species
UGAACGCUGGCGGCGUGCUUAACACAUGCAAGUCGUACGAGAACGCUUCAGCUUGCUGAAGCUAGUAAAGUGGCGCACGGGUGAGUAACGCGUGGGUAACCUGCCUUUGAUUUGGGAAUAACUUCGCGAAAGCGGUGCUAAUACCGAAUGAUAUCAUAAAAACUCCGGUUUUCAUGAUCAAAAGGGGCCUCUACAUGUAAGCUCCUGAUCGAAGAUGGGCUCGCGUACCAUUAGCUUGUUGGUAGGGUAAUGGCCUACCAAGGCGACGAUGGUUAGCUGGUCUGGGAGGAUGAUCAGCCACACUGGAACUGAGACACGGUCCAGACGCCUACGGGAGGCAGCAGUGAGGAAUAUUGCGCAAUGGGGGAAACCCUGACGCAGCAACGCCGCGUGAGUGAUGAAGGCUUUCGGGUCGUAAAGCUCUGUCAAGUGGGAAGAACCUGAAAAAUGAUAAUACCAUUUUUCACUGACGGUACCACUAAAGGAAACACCGGCUAACUCC